UACGUAGGUGGCAAGCGUUGUCCGGAAUUACUGGGCGUAAAGGGCGCGUAGGCGGCCUUCUAAGUCGAACGUGAAAUCCCCGGGCUCAACCCGGGAACUGCGUCCGAUACUGGAAGGCUUGAAUCCGGGAGAGGGAUGUGGAAUUCCAGGUGUAGCGGUGAAAUGCGUAGAUAUCUGGAGGAACACCGGUGGCGAAGGCGACAUCCUGGACCGGUAUUGACGCUGAGGCACGAAAGCCAGGGGAGCAAACGGG
rnacentral:rRNA from 1 species